CUGCAAGCUAGUGGGCUAGCAAGAGGGUGGACAGAUCUCUAGGCAGGAAGCUGGGAUUUUCUUCCUGGACUGUUCUCCAAGGUCUCCAUUCUUACAACAGAGGGGAAGAUAUUCUGGGAGGAAAUAAGUGGAUGGCUAGGAAGAAAGAUCCAUUAUGUAGUAAGAACAAAUUCUGCUUUCCUCCUUGGGAGGUUUUGAGACAUUUCUGUUAAGAUGAUUAAUUAAGACUAAAUUCAUUAACAGUGCCAGACAUCGAGGGUUCCUUCAUCCUAUGGACGUGUGUUGAGAGCUUUUGAUGUGUCUGGUGCCAGGAGGGAGUCAGACCUGCAAGGUCUCUGCUUCCCUGGAGCUGGCACAUCGAGUGGGAAGACAGAUAAUGAAGCCAGGAAACAAAUGCACGUGUGACCUGGUGCCAGGGAGAGAGGCAUGACGUGCUAGGAAGAGAGUCACACCAGGGCAUGAGGCCAGUGGGGGCAGGGACAGGCCAGGGGCUGUGGGGCUGUGUUAAACAGGCGGUCAGGGCAGGUCUCUCUGAGGAGGAGACAUGUGGGUGCAGAUCUGGUGUGGAAGAUCAGAAGAAUUUCCCACAGAGCGGGUGGUGUGGAGUAUAGUUCCCGAGGCAGGAGCAGCAUGGGGUGUUUGAAGAAUGCAAAGGGGGCCGGUGCAGCUGGAGGGUUCCAUGGAAAUGAAAUGGGUGCAGAAAUGGAGAAGCAGGCACUAUGCGUCCCCCAGGAGUUCAAUCUAGCAGUUCAUUUGCUGACACCUCAUCCCCAGUGUGAUUGCACUUGGAGGUACAGCCUUGGGAAGUGAGUACCAGAGAGCUGCCUUGCCCCUUCUACCGUGCGUGCACACAGAGAGAAGAUGGCCCUUCAUGAAGAAUCAGGCUCUCAAUAGACACUGAACCUGCCGACACCUUGACCUUGGACUUCCAGCCUCCAGAACCGCUCAGCGGCACUUUCUGCCUUUGCAUAAAAGCCAGCACAAUCCUGCCCGAGGUGGUCCACGCCCUGGUGGCUGCGCUAAGUGCUCCCCACACACCGUGUUCAGUCCUUACAGCUGACCUGAGCCCCAGAUGCCUCCUUGUGUGACACCAUCAAGUCCACCAUAAACCAAUGGAUGGAAUAACUCUCAGCAACUUGUCCCUUUCCUCCCCUGCUCCCCUUGGGUAAGAAACUGUGCAAGCUUCAAGAACAGCAGAAAGAAGAGGCAUCUCCAAACCAGUCUUCCUGGCUACUUGGCAGUUCUCCAAGAAGACUUGGCUAGUCUGGGGUAGUAGAUAAUAUCUUUCAGAAAAGCUUCCUGGUAAAAUUGAGUGACUUAUAUACUAGCUAAUCUUUAGACUGCAAAUACAGUAAUUUCUAGGCAUUGUAGUGAGGAUGGAUAGUAAUACGUGGCACUCACACUAAAUACUGAGAAAUCACUGCAGUCACCACUGCUACUGUUACCACCAUUGAGAUAGUAGAAUAGAAGCUUUCUUCACCUGUCUUCACAUCACUGAGCCACUAACCAGUGCUCUCCCCUGCCACUGUAAACAUUCUGUGGCCGCCCACAGUGCUCUGAAAGUUGGAGGCUGGUCAGUGACACCUCAGUGAGCUCUCCCACAUCUGCCUUCAUUCAAUGAGUCAUUUGAUUAACAAGAGUCUGUGGAUUGUUCCCAUGCCUUCUAAUGCCAGUUAUAUUUGUAACUUUAAUUUCAAAAUUCAACUGAAUUACUUACUAUAUAAACUAAAAAACUAUGAGUGUGAAAGCAAGAGAAUAGUUGCUUCUGUGAAAAAUAAGUCAAAUGCUGUGGAAUGACUUGAAAAAUAUGAGUUCCUAAAAAAUAUGCUGAACAAUGCAGUGAGGAAGAAACUACUGUAAAGAUGAAAAAAUACACAAACAAUGAAGGAUUCUGCAUUCAGAUAUCUUUGUAAGUGCCCUUUAAUUUUUACUUCACUUUAAAGGAUUGGAAACUAUAAAUGCUGGUGACUGUAAAAAUGGGUGUGGUUUAUGUAAAAGAUUACUAUGCAACUCCAAACAGCAGAAAUAAAAACACCUUGGUGUGCUCACAAAGAUUAGUAAGUGGAUGUACCAGUGGGUCAUUAAAUCAUCAGUUUUAACUGCUUCGGGUUAGAGGGAUUUGACGGCACUGGAACUGCCACAUGGGCAUUAAGGAAGCCACAUGUGAGUCCUGGGGCUUGGUUCUGCAGUGGGCUUCAAGCACUGGUAUGAGCCGAAUGUGAACAAAUCAUGUGUAGUGGGAAAAAACACAAGCUUGGCAUAUAGACAGAUGGACUCACGCCCUCCACUCCACUUGCUUGCUGUGUGACCUUGCGUGCACCAUGUCAUUUCUCAGAGCCAUGAUUUCUUCCUUGGCAAAAGGAGGUGCUAAUAUCUAUCUCACAGGCUAUAGAGGCCGAGGGAGGGUAGGGGAAGCCCUAAGCCAAAUUUUGGCCCAGAAGAGGGACUGCAAAUAGCACUCACAUUCCCCUCUGCAGUGUGCUUCCAGUUCCAUGCAUCCAGUGUGAACCUGACUUUCUUAUCUCCCAGGGAUUUCUCAGCCAAGCAUCAAUGAAUCUUGAAUCUCAGCUGAUGACACUCCUGGGCAAAAUGGCUAUGAAACUGGAAAGAUGUCUAUGAAACACACAGUCCCUCAAGCCAGAAAAUGCACUUGACACAUCUGUGUCCCUUGAGGAACCUGAAGUUUUGGUGAAUCCAGAAAGCCAUGGAUGGCAGAACUGACCACAGAAAAAGAAACAGAGGCUCAGAAAGGUGAAGCCAAUUGCCUGAAGCCACACAGAAUAUCAGCUGGAGUCAGGAUUCUAACACCAUCCCAUGUAGCUGAUGCUAUCUACUGCCAGCCUGGAGCCAGGCUAAGAGGAAGAGAAAGAAGAAAAUGCCUGCAGAAACAUUCUAUGUAAAGAACACUUUGGGAUCAGAAAAAGAAGCGCGCCCGUGUUUCACUUGCAGCCUCACCCUGCACUAGGUAACCCUCCUUCCUCCACUGCACAAUCACUUAGAAACUGUAACUCUUCUUGGGCCCAGGUGCACAGGUAAAUUCGGAUCUUUCCCAAGGCCCUGCAUGCUACCGUGAUUUUUAGGAACCCUAUGUCACCUCACAGAUCUGAGCAUAUAUGAGUUGGGCUCGUCACCCGGCCUUCUGGGAGUCUCAGUUUCCCUAUUUGUAAAAUGGACAUAGUAAACCCAUCUCCAUCUCACAGAGGAUAGUAAAAAGAGCCCUGGCCUUGGAGUCUGGGGGCUGGGCCACAGGUCAGGCUUCAAGACCCCCUGGGCCACGUUGGGGACUUGGGUUCCUGAGAUCCAAUCUCUGAGCAUCAGCUUCACUGUCUGUCGCAGAAGCACCAUUUCCCCACCUUGUCCACCUCACAGAACAGCCAGGUGGCUUAGAGGUGAGCUCUCAAAUGUCAACAGGCUUUGCAAACUCCAGUGGUCAGCAUUAUGUGAGUAGUUCAGUCUUUCCACAGGGAUCUCUGGGGCCUCGGGUCACAGCAGACCAGAACUUGACCUGGAGGCUGGUGUCCCCCAAACUGCUGUAUGGACCCUGCAACAGCUGGGGAGUCCUCGUCUCAACAGCCCUGCUGUCUCCCACUGAGGUCAUCUGCUGGCCCUCCUGGUGGCCCUGUGAGGAAGCCAGGAGUCACUGAUGCUGCUCUAUCGACGGCGACAGAUGGAUCACAGCUGAUAAGUGACUUGCCCAGAGUUUUGCAGCUUGGAACUCACAGAGCAGAAGCUGGGAAUCAGGUGGGGAAGCACCCAGCUCUCUGCUUCUCCUAAGCCAAGCUCUGCAGCGAGGUCCUGCUUCCCUCGGGACUCCUCUUUCAGCAUGACAUGAACUCAUUUUGAAUGUAAAGGCAAUGUCAAAGCCCUACAGCUAUUUAUACCAGAGCAUGUGUUUAUUAGCUCACUCUCCAGGGGGAAUAUUGCUGUUGUGAAUACACAACUACUCAUAACUACCGUCUUAAAAAUCUUCUCUACCCCAAAAUAUUUACUAAUGUAUUUAAGUAUUUAUUUUCUUGUAGUGAAAGGAAAUCAAGAUAAUUCUAAAAUUGUGGAAGAAAACAAAAAAAGUAUAAAGGAGAAAACAGAAGCUUCACAUAUUCUAACCAUUAUUAAUCUCAAAAUAUUUUAUUCCAGGUCCUUGUCUAUGGUCCAGGUCCUUGUCUAUGGUCCUAUAGCCUAUGCUGAGUGACACUGUGCUAUGUGUAUGCCAUUUGCACUCACCGUGGGGUCAUAAGCGUGCCAUUUCCUUUUUAUUAAAAAAAUACUUUGCAUACAUGAAAGUAUGUUUGCAUUAAAACUAUGCAAACAUCAGUUUUAAUAACUGUAUAAAUAUUCCAUCACAAGGACAUUCCAUAAUUUAUUUAAUCACUUUGGUAGUGUUGGACAUUUAAUUUUUUAAAAAGUCAAAUAAUGCCAGGAUUAAUGCCUGUUUAUAUGAACCAGUUUUCAUUUCCUGAUUAUUUUCUUCGGCCAGAUCCCCAAAAGUGGAAUUACUGAUAAAAGUAGGUGAGUGUUUUUAACACAUUUCUUCUUAUACACACACACACACACACACACACACACACACACCCAUCAACAAAUAGUUUUUCCUGGAAGGAACUUCCAGUAGUGUAUGAGAAAGCCUAUUGCACCACACCAUCCCCAGCAAUGAGAAUUACUACUGUAAAAAAAUCUUUGUUACAUUAAAUUUUUGGAGGACAUCUCAUUUUCUUGAUUGCAUUUGAUUAACUCAAAAUGUAUUUCUACAGGGUGGGGAACAUCACACACUGGGGCCUGUCGUGGGGUGGGGGGAUGGGGGAGGGAUAGCAUUAGGAGAAAUACCUAAUGUAAAUGACGAGUUAAUGGGUGCAGCAAAC
rnacentral:lncRNA from 10 species